UCGCGAAUUUUUCACAAUGGGCGCAAGCCUGAUGAAGCCACGCCGUGUGUGGGAUGAAGGCUCUCUGAGUUGUAAACCACUGUCAGGUGGGGGGAAACGCGCGGUGUUAACAGCAUCGCGUUUGACUGCCCGCCAAAGGAAGCCCCGGCAAAACAUGUGCCAGCAGCCGCGGUAAUACAUGUGGGGCAAGCGUUGUUCGGAAUUACUGGGCAUAAAGGGUGCGUAGGUGGUUUGUUAAGUCAGGGGUGAAAUCCGGUGGCCCAACCAUCGAACUGCCUUUGAUACUGGCGAACUUGAGUGCGUGAGGGGUGAUCGGAACGAGUAGUGUAGCGGUGAAAUGCGUAGAUAUUACUCGGAAGGCCAACGGCGAAGGCAGAUCACUGGUACGUAACUGACACUGAGGCACGAAAGCGUGGGGAGCAAACAGG
rnacentral:rRNA from 1 species